CGGGCUCCUGAAGCAUUAACUUCAGUAACGGUGACCAUCCAUUCCUCCAUUCCUUGUUUGCAGCUAGCGUUUUAGUUCUCCUAGAGCUAGUUAGUUUAGUCUGCUAUGGUUUGGAGUGCUUUGGGUUUCAAUUCACUGCAGCAGAAGCACCAUUCUUUUGCCUUUUUCAUUUAGAUGCCUUUGGAUUGUUUUGCAUCAGAACCUGUUCAAGGAGAUUUGCUUUUGGUAGAUGCAGAGUAUAGAUUAAUUAUUCCAUAAAAUUCAUCACAUGAGUAUACUACUUAAUAGCCAAUAGUUUACUUAAUUUAUUUGCACAACCUUGCUGUUUGACUGCUAUUUUAUGGUUUGGAUGUAUAUACGAGAUGGUGGGCUGUUGGAUGUGGAUUGUGAGUCCACGGCAAGACUGAGCAUUCUUUUAGCAACUUGUUGUACACUUGCUCUGCUUGAGGCUACUAUAUAACUUGUGCCUUUUAACUUGAUGUGCAUAGCAUGCAAUUUUUUACUGUAUCACAUUCACACUGUCUGAAUCCUAAUACCCAUUUCUGUACAAUGUCAAUAGUGCAUUUGGUUUGCAUUGAUCAUUAGCAGUUUGUAUCAAAUGCAGGUGCUCUGCUUCUCCACGGGCUCGUUCACCAUUCGUUCAACUUUAGAGCUCAUCAGGUCUGUUCUUGCCCUGACCAAGCUAUUCAAGUAUGUUAGGUUUGCAAUAAUAUUUAUUAUUAGUUGGGCUCUUACAAUGCAUAGGCACAGCAGGAUAUACUCCUGUGUGCUACUAAAUGUCACAGAGAAGAAACAAAGAUGGCAAGUAAAAAGAAACUGUUUAUAACUUGAACACUAGUUGAAUUUAUGGCAAAAGUAAUUUGUAAAACAAAACAUGGAUUAGAUCAACAAGUCCUUAGCAUAUCAAAUGUGCCACUUUGGAAAUGUCAGCCUGUAGCACAUAAUAUGUUAUCUUAUUGUUGCUGUGUCACUAUAUCCUAGUAAUUCUGCUGUUUCACUUUAUCCCAGUAAAGCAAGAUGCUUGUUAUACUCAUGUUCCUGAUGAUAUUGGUGUACACUCAGUUUGGCUGUUUCUUCUAGUUCUGCUACUAGUUGCUGUGUAGUAAUACAGAAAUAUUAAUGCUCAAAUAUGCUGAUGUGGCCUGUAGCACACCUGCUUCGAAGCUGACCCGUCCGUCGUCAUCGCCUUUGAUGACGACGAGGACACCGUAGGCACCGUCGGCCUCGGUGGCGGCUUCCACCACUACAACAUCGUCGUCACCUACCAAGGCAUCAAGGGGUGAAUUGAUUUGAUCGUUAAUAUGUGGCUGGAUGUGAUGUUUUGCAGGUUGAAGGUGCUAAGGUGUUGGAGACGUGCCUGUACUUGUUGAGCGUUUUAUCUGUAGAGUGCUAUAUUGUGAUUGGUGUAAUAUUGUAUGGUUAUAUUGUGAUUGGUGGAAUGUAAUAAAAUUGAUUGGUACAUCGGUGAUUUGGAUAUUAUUUGAAUAUAUUUAAAAUGUGUUCUCUGAUUGGUAUAUCAUUGAGUUACAAGUUGUGAAAAAUUAAAACCUGAUGUUUGGGACCUAGUGCCUAGAAGAAUCUAACAAUGUGCAUCCAGUUGACUACAAUAAUCU
rnacentral:lncRNA from 1 species